rnacentral:rRNA from 1 species
UACGGAGGGGGGCUAGCGUUGUUCGGAAUUACUGGGCGUAAAGCGCACGUAGGCGGCUUUGUAAGUUAGAGGUGAAAGCCCGGGGCUCAACUCCGGAAUUGCCUUUAAGACUGCAUCGCUAGAAUUGUGGAGAGGUAAGUGGAAUUCCGAGUGUAGAGGUGAAAUUCGUAGAUAUUCGCAAGAACACCAGUGGCGAAGGCGGCUCACUGGCCCGGUACUGACGCUGAGGUGCGAAAGCGUGGGGAGCAACAGG